AAAGUACUCCCUCCGUCCCAAAAUUCUUCUCUUGGAUUUGUCUAGAUACGGAUGUAUCAAGUCACAUUUUAGUAUUAGAUACAUCUGUAUCUAGACAGAUCUAAGACAAGAAAUUUGGGACAGAGGGAGUAGUUG
rnacentral:pre_miRNA from 1 species